UUGGGCAGAAGGAUCCUCCUCGGAUCAUCACCGGUCAGAAAGAGUAUAUUGAAAUCCUCUGCAUGACUGUACCAGCCUGAAACGUGAUCAAUCCAAGAACUGCCAAGAACUUAGCAUGGGAAAUUAUUAAAACAAAGCAAACAAAAAAGAUAAAUACUAUUAGCAGCCAGAAGUGAAGCCAUGAAAUUAGCAGUUAGUUUGGUCUUUAAAAGAGCUUCUUUUAAGGAGUGUUUGGGAUUCUCACAGUCUUUGUGAUAAAUCUUUGAGUUAAUGUGGCAAAUCCCCUUUUGCAUAUAGGAGUCUGAACUAGUCCUGGUAGAAGCAGUAAGCUACUUCUCUAGCUUGGCUGUACAGUGCCCAUUCUUACAGGUUCAGUGCAGAAAGAUUUAAGAGAUUUUCAGUCAGAAUGGUUAUGUUCUGGACCAGCAUCCCCUUCAGACAAAAUAAGCAGCUUGUAUUAUGCUGGGGACCUAUGGCCAUGGUACUUCUCUGGCACAGCUUUCAUCAGAAAGUGAUGUCCAGCUCAGGCAACCUCUGCAGCCUUGAAUUCGAGUGACAGUUGAGGACCCUGGUAGUUUCUGUUUAUUGAGAUAGUUAUUCUCAAUUUAAUCCAAGGCCAUGGAACAGGGUUUGGGCUCCUUAGUGAAAGAAAUAUCCUACCUUUGCCAGAUAAAAACCUCUCCAUAAAAAGGUUGAAAUCUGCUAUUUCCUCCACUGUCUUCAUGUACUUGGAGAAGUGAUAGUAAGAAACCAUAACAUCCUUAGGGUUCCUGGUAACAUAAAUUAUCUGCAAAACAAUAAGAAGAUGAAUCUCAGAGAUAUUAAGGGGCUUCACUGUACUGCAUUUUUCCAUACAUGUCCCACUGAAAGUAUACAGAAGCAGUCUGAAGAUGACACAGACAUUAGGUGAAUUCUGGAUAAGGCAAUGCUGUCAAUCUGUUUGUGAUGGCAUUUCUGGUGUUAGUCUUUCAGUGAAGGAUCCUGUCCUUGAAUUGCUGUUCUGAAUGGCUACAAUGAUGGCUUUUGGUUCCUGCAUAGUGCAAAAUGAUCUUAUCUUUAACACAACCAAACCCAUUAUUUCCAAGGUAUAUGAAAUUAGAAUUCCUUUAUAUGCUCCAGGAAAACACAAAGACAUCUGACUUGAUACCAGUGAAAAAGUAAUUGUGUGGUUUGACCUAAGUGACAUACCCAAGCAGAAGUGGAAAAGAUCCCUCCCCCAGGCAAUAGUUUUCUUAAGUGACAACAAACUCCAUGUCCUCUGGCAUGUGUGCUCUGUGUGAUUUUUAGGCAAAUUUUCAUUCCCUGUUGGAAUCACUUGUUUCAGAUCUUCUGAUCUGAAAAAAAGUACAUGAGCUUUCUCUACCAAACUUCACUGGUGCUGUGAAGAAAAUGGUGAGCACGUUGCAGUUUCCCUUUGCCCUUUUGUCUCUAGAAGAAGGGAGGAGCAGCUCUUGGGGUUUGCCUCUGCAGCCACAGCUCAGGCUUGGGAAGCUCUGCAUCAGGAACAAGGACAGAGCCAUUGGGGCCACCACAAGAAAGACUAUCAGAAGUACAAGAUCCUUUGCCAGGGAGCACAGUAACACAGAUUGCUCCAAAGAGACUAAGGCAAUCCUCUUUGUGCUGUUAGAAGUAUGCACCCCAUAUACACCUUCAGGCUUCACAUAUGUCCAUGUCCUGUCCGUGAUGGUUAGUGUAGCAGGCUGGUUACAUCUAUCCCUAAGGAAAUAUUUUCCAUGGGAGCUAAACCCUGAGCUAAGGCACAGAUCAUGAUGGAAAGUCCUAUUCAGAAACUCCCAGCAAGAAGGAACAGUUCUCAUGUUCCACCUCCACCAACUACAGCCUCCUCCUACUCAGUGUGUGGGACAGUUUUUCAGACUUCUGCUGGGAGCUAUCAUUUCCAAAAGGGGAAAAUCAAUAAAAGAUUUUGACCCUGGCAGGUCCCCCUGAGUCACACCACUCCUUCCUCUAACUGUUCUGAGCCUGAGAGCUUUGGCAAAAGGAAACAGAGGAAAUGGGCUAUAGAAGUCUUAGAAUCAACCAGGUUGGAAGAGACUUCCAAGAUCAUCCAAUCCAACCUAUCACCCAGCCCUAUCCAGUCAACUAAACCAUGGCACUAAGUGCCUCAUCCAGGUUUU